UACAGAGGGUGCAAGCGUUGUUCGGAAUUAUUGGGCGUAAAGCGCGAGUAGGCGGCCAGGCAAGUUAGGUGUGAAAGCCCUCGGCUUAACCGAGGAAGUGCGCCUAAAACUACUUGGCUUGAGUACCGGAGAGGAUGGUGGAAUUCCCGGUGUAGAGGUGAAAUUCGUAGAUAUCGGGAGGAACACCAGCGGCGAAGGCGACCAUCUGGACGGAUACUGACGCUGAGACGCGAAAGCGUGGGGAGCAAACAGG
rnacentral:rRNA from 1 species